GGGUCAGGACGACCUGACCCCGGGGUAGCCCCGGCGGGGACGGCCCCG
rnacentral:ncRNA from 1 species